rnacentral:rRNA from 1 species
CCUACGGGGGGCUGCAGUGGGGAAUAUUGGACAAUGGGGGCAACCCUGAUCCAGCCAUGCCGCGUGUGUGAAGAAGGCCCUCGGGUUGUAAAGCACUUUCAGUGAGGAAGAACGCCUGGUGGUUAAUACCCAUCAGGAAAGACAUCACUCACAGAAGAAGCACCGGCUAACUCCGUUCCAGCAGCCGCGGUAAUACGGAGGGUGCGAGCGUUAAUCGGAAUUACUGGGCGUAAAGCGCGCGUAGGUGGCUUGAUAAGCCGGUUGUGAAAGCCCCGGGCUCAACCUGGGAACGGCAUCCGGAACUGUCAAGCUGGAGUGCAGGAGAGGAAGGUAGAAUUCCCGGUGUAGCGGUGAAAUGCGUAGAGAUCGGGAGGAAUACCAGUGGCGAAGGCGGCCUUCUGGACUGACACUGACACUGAGGUGCGAAAGCGUGGGUAGCAAACAGGAUUAGAUACCCUAGUAGUC